rnacentral:rRNA from 1 species
UAGUACGGCGAGUGAAGCGGCAAAAGCUCAAAUUUGAAAUCUGGUACCUUCGGUGCCCGAGUUGUAAUUUGGAGAGGGCAACUUUGGGGCCGUUCCUUGUCUAUGUUCCUUGGAACAGGACGUCAUAGAGGGUGAGAAUCCCGUGUGGCGAGGAGUGCGGUUCUUUGUAAAGUGCCUUCGAAGAGUCGAGUUGUUUGGGAAUGCAGCUCUAAGUGGGUGGUAAAUUCCAUCUAAAGCUAAAUAUUGGCGAGAGACCGAUAGCGAACAAGUACAGUGAUGGAAAGAUGAAAAGAACUUUGAAAAGAGAGUGAAAAAGUACGUGAAAUUGUUGAAAGGGAAGGGCAUUUGAUCAGACAUGGUGUUUUGUGCCCUCUGCUCCUUGUGGGUAGGGGAAUCUCGCAUUUCACUGGGCCAGCAUCAGUUUUGGUGGCAGGAUAAAUCCAUAGGAAUGUAGCUUGCCUCGGUAAGUAUUAUAGCCUGUGGGAAUACUGCCAGCUGGGACUGAGGACUGCGACGUAAGUCAAGGAUGCUGGCAUAAUGGUUAUAUGCCGCCCGUCUUGAA